rnacentral:SRP_RNA from 1 species
AGCCGGGUCCUGUGCAAUAGAUGCUCCCGAACCCCGUCAGGUCCGGAAGGAAGCAGCGGUAGGGACCCUCUCUAUGUGCCGCAGGUUAACCUGGCUAUC